CGGGGAGUAAGUUACAGCGCUGUAAAGCCGCCACCAGCACUGUAACUCUCCAGUGUAGCCAAGCCCUAAGUUUCCUGAGUGGCACAGAGCUCUGUCGUCUGCUGUCCAACAUAACAAGCUUGCUAUCAAUCCAUGAGGUUAUACUUCCAUUGUGUUCAGGGCCACUCCGCAGUGGGUCUCAGCCAGCAUAAAAGAGAAAGGUUUAUUGUGUGUCUGAACACAGCACAGGCUGUUCUCAGGGCCCUCAAGCCUAGAAGGUCACAGCACAGUCCAAUUGAAUCCGUCCAGCAGAGGAUGUGGAAAACUCUAGUGGGGCUAGUGAGUUACCAGGAACAGGGUUUAAGAGGGCUGAGCCUUUGCCCUGUGGUGGGGAAAUUGAAGCACAACCAACAAGGGCUGCACCCCACAAGCAGCUGAAUUCCAGACUGAGUAGCAAGUGGAAGGAUCCCUCCUUGAAGAAGCUGAGGGCCCUUGCAGGCCACGGUGUUGGAAGACCCUGGGGGCGGACUGCUGGAAAAGAUCCCUGUGGGAGAAGGGGACUGGUACCCGGAAAAGGGCACCCCGAUGGAAAAUUGAACCUUGGGGGAUCAAGGGCUAGUGGCCCCCAGAAGUACCCAGAGCAGCUGUUGUAGCUUAUUAAACUCAUCCCCCCCUUCAUCAUUUGUCGCCUUAGUACAGCAUAUAAUAGCUUGAUUCUCAACAGUUGCCGAGCAGUCACAAAUUGUAGUGAAAUAAGCAGGGGCUGCAGCUGCUCAGCACCUUUAAAAAUUAGUCCACGAGGGUAUGAAACUACCUUUGGCAGCAGCUGGUAUCUCCAUUUUUCAUAUGGGUAAACUGAGGCACAGAAAGAUGAUGUGACUUUCCCCAAAGUACCCAGUAAGGCAGUGGCAAAGUUGGAACUAGAUCCCAGGAGUCCUGACUCCCAGCCCUUUACUUAAGCCACUAAAUAAUCCUUUCUACCAUCUGUGCAUCCUGACAAAGAUACCUUAUAAAAUGAUCCGUCAAAUAUCUAAUGACCCACUGUUUGCAAAACCUAAUUUCUCUGAAUGGAACAGAGUGGUCAUUUUAACAGAUCAAAGUAGAUCAAGUGUUGUUAGUUCGCAAGUCAAGACGAUUCCUCCAAUUGCUGGUGCCAGAGACUCCCAGUCGUGAUGUGAAAACCCAGCUAUUUGGUCAGCUUCUGACCUAAUCACUGCUGUAGGAGGUUCUUAGCUGACCAUUUUGUUGGUGCUACAAGAGUCAGAAUGGACUCCAGCUCUCUCUCCUGCAGCUGUAUUAGCUCCUGCUAACCUAGCAGAAGGAAGAUCUUUUUUUCCAUCGGCAAUGGGAGCUCCAUACGUUCAGGAAGCAGAGAUCUGAGUAACCGGAGGCCAUUUUUAUGUAGGCACCCUUUUAGCAGGAACUGCUCCUUAACUGACUCACUUUUAAUGUGUAGUCUUUCUGUAUUCUAGAACCCCAGCUGUUUACCUUAUCUCAGGGCUUCUCAACCUGGAGUUUGUGAGCAGAUGCCAAGGGGUUGUGGCCAUGCUGCCCUCCCCUCGUGCUAAAAGGGAUGGAAUGGAUGGACCCCAGUAUGGAAAAGAUUGAGAACUGCUACCUGCCCUAGUGAAGAAAAACCCGGCUGUGCACGUACAUACACAAAUAUUUCAUUCACCGGGUAACUUGGAUUUUAGCUGCUUUGCAGUAUGAUAAGCUAUAGCAAGAGAAAACUGACGGCUUGUUAACCAGAUAGCAAGGGGAUUAUAAGAGGAACUGGGCUCCAGACUUUCAGUUGGGUCACAGCUCUGCCACCGCUUGCGAAAUGAAGAUGUUUCAAAUUGUCAAGGACAACACCUUGGGGCGCAUCGCUAGUAUCCCUCUGUUCAACUCGGCUUAUCAGAUUGCUGUGUUCACUUACGCGGACAUAAAAGGUACCCACCCCGUGGUGGGUUUCUUCCAUGACAUGGCAGAGCGCAGCGUGAGCACCAUGGUGGGGGUGGCUGUGAUGGCAGCCACUCCUGUCGUGCAGAGGCUGGAGGUGCCAAUAGCUGCAGUUAAUAGCUACACACUGAGAGGCGUGGCCGAGCUGGAGGCGAGAUUCCCCAUUCUGGAUCAGUCAGCGGACGAGGUCCUCGGGAAUUUGCGAGGCAGCCUGGCUGCCGGCAUGGAGCAGCUGCAGGCCCGCACCGCUGAGCGAGUGGGCUGGCUGAGGGAGCGGGCCAGCAGGGUUGUGGAGGACGUGAUGGGCACUGCGGCCUUGGGGGUGAACAUCGUCCUGAAUGCCAGUGUCAUUGGCCAAGUGCUGGAGCCCAGGGCCGAGGCAGCUCUGAGCCGCGUAGAGCAGAUCGCGAGCCACUAUCUCCCUGCCACAGAGGAAGAAACCAGAAGGCAGGUGCCAAGCCUCAGAGGCGUGAAGCAGAGCCCAGAAAGCGAGCAGACCUAUGCCAGGCGGCUGCAGCUUGUGAUUGCUACCUCUGCCCAGCGAGCAAACCGGAGAGCGUGGUCGUAUGCAGAAGAACUAUGGCGUUUGAUGCUCCGGGCCCUGAACCAGCUGUUGGAGUUUGCUGUCGAGUUCUUCGAGCCUCCUUCAAUCUCCGCCUUGCCGAGAGCGCACAGAAGCCGAUGCUUAUUGGUGUCUCUGCGGACACAGGACUGGUGUUACCUCCAUACUGCAGGAGGCCUUUUGAUCAAUUAAUUUGCCUGAAGUCUUCCAGAGAUCUGCCUUAUGGAGCUGAUUUUCCAAGAUCCUCAAUCCUCCCAGCAGCUGUUGAGUUCAGCUGCAUUUGUCGGUGCCCAGCCUCUCUAAAGAGCAAGCCCCAGGCCUCUUCUCUAUCUCCCUGUUCAGAGGCUGCUCGACCCUUCCUGGUAGGGCCAGGUGGAGGUGACCCCAGUCCAUAAAUGUUACAGUGGAGUUAGAGGUGAACUGGAGCUGCAGAAUUCAGAUCCAAAUCCGGACUCCCCCCAGGGUUGGGUUUCAGCCCGUUCCGGAGUUGAGGGCCACCUGCUGAACUUCCCCGCAGCCUGGAGGUGUUUGACUCCAGGCCCAGGCUCCAUCCCGCUGCCCUCGGUGCUGUCAUUUACACCAGUGCAGUGUGCUUGUCGAAUGCUGCCAUUCUGAGCCUGUGGCAUUUCACACCUGCUCUGCGUAGUAUGAACGACAGCGUCUGGUGCAGAGACUCAGGCCCCUGGUGUAUGGGAGGUAAUGACUGCUGCUAGACAGGGCAGUGUCUGGAGAGCUAGGGGCCCCUUUGUAACUGGGAAGCCAGAGCCCCAUGCACCCAGCUGUUUACCCAGAAUUGCAUUCCACUUUAACUCCUGGUAGGUCAGUAGAUACUUAUUGGGCACGAUACGUGGUCAGUGGCCCUCUGUGCUUGGCUCCUAACACAGCACAUGCAUGAUGGACAUUGUCCAAGCUCACCUUUCCCCACUGCUGGUCAUCCUCUUUCAUUAAGGUAACAAAACCCUCAGGCAGGCCUGUGCUUAUCAUGAUAAACCUUAGCCCUCCUCCCUCCUAAGCAGGCUCAUUACAUCUCAUCCCUGUAGGCCCUCUUCUAGUGCUCCCUUCACUCCCAGACUCUCAGCCUUUAUGUUGUUGAACAGGCUUAAUCAGGCCCCACCUGGUCUGGCUGAAAGGGUGAGUCAGUAGAGUAGCUCUGCACCUCCAUACAAGGUUCCUGUUUAAUGCCCUAAACCAGAUAGAACAGAUCCUUUGAUUCACCUCCCAUGAUCCAAAAGGGCCCAUUGUUUCUUGAUAUGGCAGCUUUGGGGGAAUUGGUGAACAGGGAUGUCAAAUAUAUGUCCAUCAGCACCAGGAUGGGACCCUACAUUUUUUAUGUGAUCUGAGCUGCUUUUAACGUCUAUCUUUCCUUGCAUGUUAUUUUUUUAUAAUGUUCUUUGCACAGUCCUCGUUUAGAGACAGCCUCAGAUCUCACACACCCCAGUCCCUAUUGGAUUAGGAGAUUGGGCCAGAUUCUGAUCCCUGGGGCAAACCCAGAGUCACUCUCUGCAUUGGAUUUACGCCAGUAUGGGAGAGAUCAGAGCCUGGCCUGUAGCUGCUACUGCGCUCUUCCAAAUCCAGAGCCUUUCUGUAACAUCCUGGAAAUGCCGGGAGCUGAGCUUUGUUCUGCUGUGUUGCCCCCAGCAAAGGGAAGUGACCGCAUCUCUGUGACUGCUCAGCCAGUUGGGAGGUUAGCAGAUUCCUGAGCUGAUGCUGACUAAGGGGACAUGGUCUCUGCCCUCGCUCAGUUCCCAGAGCUCUGGGUCACACUGUAGCCUGCGGGCUCGGGGGAGAAUGUGUGGGCUGCCACACGGAGGGGUAAGUGCUAUUCCAGGGCAUUUGCUUCAGUGUAUGGACUCCGGUGUAAAACCAAACAGAGAUCAGGGCUGGUGUGAGGCAUCCCAGGUGCUAGAGCCCUUUGUUUAUCCACCCAGAACAGGUAGCAGCAGGGCAAGCUUCACACCUGCACUGUCCCAGAGAGUCUAGUUGUUUGCAGGGUUAUUGUAGCCAUGUGAGUCCCAGGGAGAAUAGAUCAGUUUCCAUCUUCAGUGCCUGAGUGCAGAGUCCCUUGUGCACUGGCAAACAAGGGGUUAACUCUCUGUUAGGUCCUUAUAAUGUCCCUUAUCAGCGUACAAUUGUGAAUGGUCUUUAUCUCCAUUCGGCACAUGGGGAAACCGAGGCACAGAGCGAGCUCAAGUGACUUGCCCAGGGUCACACAGGGAGUCUGUA